rnacentral:rRNA from 1 species
AUACGGAGGGUGCAAGCGUUGUCCGGAUUUAUUGGGUUUAAAGGGUGCGUAGGUGGCGUGUUAAGUCAGUGGUGAAAGCCUGCAGCUCAACUGUAGAGGUGCCAUUGAUACUGACAUGCUUGAGUAUGGACGAGGUAGGCGGAAUUUGCGGUGUAGCGGUGAAAUGCAUAGAUACCUCAAAGAACACCGAUAGCGAAGGCAGCUUACUGGACCAUAACUGACACUGAGGCACGAAAGUGUGGGUAGCGAACAGGAUUAGAAACCCUAGUAGUCC